CCUACGGGGUGCAGCAGUGGGGAAUAUUGCACAAUGGGGGAAACCCUGAUGCAGCGACGCCGCGUGAGUGAAGAAGUAAUUCGUUAUGUAAAGCUCUAUCAGCAGGGAAGAAAAUGACGGUACUUGAGUAAGAAGCCCCGGCUAACUACGUGCCAGCAGCCGCGGUAAUACGUAGGGGGCAAGCGUUAUCCGGAUUUACUGGGUGUAAAGGGAGCGUAGACGGCAGUGCAAGUCUGGAGUGAAAGGCGGGGGGUCAACCCCCGGACUGCUCUGGAAACUGUACGGCUGGAGUGCAGGAGAGGUAAGUGGAAUUCCUAGUGUAGCGGUGAAAUGCGUAGAUAUUAGGAGGAACACCAGUGGCGAAGGCGGCUUACUGGACUGUAACUGACGUUGAGGCUCGAAAGCGUGGGGAGCAAACAGGAUUAGAUACCCCAGUAGUC
rnacentral:rRNA from 1 species